rnacentral:rRNA from 1 species
AGAUGGCGACCGGCGCACGGGUGAGUAACACGUAUCCAACCUACCGAUAACUCUGGAAUAGCCUUUCGAAAGAAAGAUUAAUACCCGAUGGCAUAGUUCUUCCGCAUGGUAGAACUAUUAAAGAAUUUCGGUCAUCGAUGGGGAUGCGUUCCAUUAGGUUGUUGGCGGGGUAACGGCCCACCAAGCCUUCGAUGGAUAGGGGUUCUGAGAGGAAGGUCCCCCACAUUGGAACUGAGACACGGUCCAA